rnacentral:rRNA from 1 species
UACGAAGGGGGCUAGCGUUGCUCGGAAUCACUGGGCGUAAAGCGCACGUAGGCGGAUUGUUAAGUCAGGGGUGAAAUCCUGGAGCUCAACUCCAGAACUGCCUUUGAUACUGGCAAUCUCGAGUUCGAGAGAGGUGAGUGGAACUGCGAGUGUAGAGGUGAAAUUCGUAGAUAUUCGGCAAGAACACCAGUGGCGAAGGCGGCUCGCUGGCCCGGUACUGACGCUGAGGUGCGAAAGCGUGGGGAGCAAACAGG